rnacentral:rRNA from 1 species
GAUUAUGGCUCAGAACGAACGCUGGCGGCGUGCUUAACACAUGCAAGUCGAACGCGAAAGGGACUUCGGUCCUGAGUAAAGUGGCGCACGGGUGAGUAACGCGUAAAUAACCUGUCUUCAUGUCUGGAAUAAUACGCCGAAAGGGGUACUAAUACCGGAUAUUCUUGCUUUUCAUAAGUUAUGCAAGCAAAGGUGGCCUCUGCAUAUGCUACUGCAUGAAGAGGGGUCCGCGUACCAUUAGCUAGUAGGUGGGGUAAUGGCCUACCUAGGCGGCGAUGGUUAGCGGGUCUGAGAGGAUGAUCCGCCACACUGGCACUGGAACACGGGCCAGACUCCUACGGGAGGCAGCAGUGAGGAAUAUUGCGCAAUGGGGGAAACCCUGACGCAGCGACGCCGCGUGAAGUGAGGAAGGCCUUCGGGUCGUAAAGCUCUGUCAAGAGGAAAGAAGUGUACAAUGGCUAAUACCUGUUGUAUUUGACGGUACCUCUAAAGGAAGCACCGGCUAACUCCGUGCCAGCCGCAGC